UGUAGUAAAUAUUACAAAUUCAUUAUCAUAAAAACCUAAAAUAUCUGAUAUGGUCUUACCUUGAACUUCCUAAAGAUGCACACUAUACCAAAGUAAAACUUCUGGACUUCUGAAACCGUCCUUUUGACUGAGACGGAAGUAGACUAAAGAGUUAUAUUGAAAUAUUCAAAUUAACAGAUCUUGAGAUUGGGCCAAACUCUUGAUUAUUUUAAAACUUUUGUUAAUGUUGUUUAUUGACUUGUCAAAUGUUUUCCUAUAUAUAUAUAUAUAUACACUUUUAUUGAUAAAUCCAUUGUUAUUUUCAUUGGAAUUUUACCCUCAUGUCAGAGUUUGGUUGAAGUUUUCAUGGCGUGACCCAUAUAUAUAUAUAAAUCUAUAAUAUAUAUAAACGACUCAAGUAUUUCAAUAUGACCUAUUUUCUCUCAGUUUAGUCAUUUUAAUGGACAUAACUUUGUUUUCUAAAGUGCUGGAGACAAGAACAAUGACCGUGGAGGAAACAGAAACAAAAAGAAAAUCCAGUUAUAGAAAUGGAACCAAUUCACACCAAAAAAGUUCAAUUCAACCUUUUUUACUCAUCGGUAUCAAACAGUCCAUGUACUGAGCUUCUAUAAUUUAAGUAAAGCUUAAAACCCACAAUGUUUUUUUUUUGUCUAUUCUUUGAUACUGACCUCACUAGAAAACAUAUUCUUUUAAAAAAAUAUUCUUUAUUACUCCAAAUGAAACUCACAGUGUUGUUCUCCAUUAACGUGAUUGGAAACCUUAAAGUGUGCCGAUAUUUCCAAACACUUAAAGUGCCCCUGCACUCAGAAACCUGGUUUUUAAAUGGUUAGCUCGUUUGAAAAGUCUAGUUAAGACUAUAUAGAUUGGUGUUUGGGUUAGAUUUGUUAGGAUGAAUGGCAUGUAUACCAGUCCUCCGAACGGUGCUCACUGAACUGUCCGAUGUUAUUAAACUUAAUCGGCUGUUGUAUCAUGCUAAUAAGUUCCGCUGUGGUAAAUUGUUAAAUUAAACAGUCUGAGAAUGAAAUACAAGGCAAGAGGAACAUUUACUUGGAUAUCUACUCAGCAAAAUUUAUUAUCCUGUUUAGGCAAUGUGAAAGACAUCCUUUUCCCAGUGAAAUGAAAUGAUAUAAUAAAAUAUAUUAAACCUACUAAUCUAAAUAUAUUCAUCUCUGCUAUCAUAGCAGGAUAAUUAAACCUUUCUCUUUUUUUUUUUUUUUACCUUUCCAAAGCAUGCAUUAAAACAAUCAGCUGUUUGAAAAUAAAAAAUAGUAUUUGAUUUCUGAGUACGUCUACCUCUCUACCAUCGACAUUCUUACAUCAGUGCUCACAGUAAAAGGCUUGACUUGAUAAUAUUGCACCUGAACAAUUCUCCAACAAGUAACUCAAGCAAACCAGACCAACGUACAGUCAUUUAAAAGCCUUACUACAGUCAUACGAUUUAGAUUCGUUCAGAGAAGAUAAGAGAAGCCCAGAAUAGCCCCAUCUCUGGCAAGAAAGACAGCUGAGGGUCUGAUCAGGUGUAGCGUGUUGCGAUUAUGGAGCAAUACAGUUAGCGAGGUACUGAGAGUAGUCCUGGUUGGCACAAGUGUUCAUGAGAGUGUCUUUCCUGCAACAGGGAAAAAAAAUAAAUAAUGCCCGGUCAGUGUCUCAUCAUCG
ensembl:lncRNA